AGCGAACGCUGGCGGCAGGCCUAACACAUGCAAGUCGAACGAACUCUUCGGAGUUAGUGGCGGACGGGUGAGUAACACGUGGGAACGUGCCUUUAGGUUCGGAAUAACUCAGGGAAACUUGUGCUAAUACCGAAUGUGCCCUUCGGGGAAAGAUUUAUCGCCUUUAGAGCGGCCCGCGUCUGAUUAGCUAGUUGGUGAGGUAAAGGCUCACCAAGGCUACGAUCAGUAGCUGGUCUGAGAGGAUGACCAGCCACAUUGGGACUGAGACACGGCCCAAACUCCUACGGGAGGCAGCAGUGGGGAACCUUGCGCAAUGGGCGAAAGCCUGACGCAGCCAUGCCGCGUGGAUGAUGAAGGUCUUAGGAUUGUAAAAAUCCUUUCGCCGGUGAAGAUAAUGACUGUAGCCGGAGAAGAAGCCCCGGCUAACUUCGUGCCAGCAGCCGCGGUAAU
rnacentral:rRNA from 1 species